rnacentral:rRNA from 1 species
GAUGAACGCUGGCGGCGUGCUUAACACAUGCAAGUCGAACGGUGAAGCCCAGUUUGCUGGGUGGAUUAGUGGUGAACGGGUGAGUAACACGUGAGUAACAUGCCCUUAAUCUUGGGAUAAGUUUGGGAAACUGGGUCUAAUACCGGUCUGGUGCGUCCACCGCAUGGUGGGUGUUGGCUAGAUUUAUCGGCUUUGGUUGGACUCGCGGCCUAUCAGAUUGUUGGUGAGGUAAUGGCUCACUAAGGCGACGACGGGUAGCCGGCGUGAGAGGGUGACCGGCCACACGGGGACGGAGACACGGCCCAGACUCAGUCGGGAGGCAUCAGUGGGGAAUAUAACACAAAGGGCGAAAGCCUGAGUCAGCGACGCCGCGUGAGGGAUGACGACCUUCGUGUUGUAGACCUCUUGCAGUAUGGAAGGAGCGAAAGUGACGGUACCGGCAGAAGAAGCACCGGCUAACUACGUG